rnacentral:rRNA from 1 species
GGGUUGUGAGGUUAAGCGACUAAGCGUACACGGUGGAUGCCCUGGCAGUCAGAGGCGAUGAAGGGCGUGCUAAUCUGCGAUAAGCGCCGGUAAGGUGAUAUGAACCGUUAUAACCGGCGAUACCCGAAUGGGGAAACCCAGUGUGAUUCGUCACACUAUCAUUAACUGAAUCCAUAGGUUAAUGAGGCGAACCGGGGGAACUGAAACAUCUAAGUACCCCGAGGAAAAGAAAUCAACCGAGAUUCCCCCAGUAGCGGCGAGCGAACGGGGAGGAGCCCAGAGCCUGAAUCAGCAUGUGUGUUAGUGGAAGCGUCUGGAAAGGCGCGCGAUACAGGGUGACAGCCCCGUACACAAAAGCGCAUGUGCUGUGAGCUCGAUGAGUAGGGCGGGACACGUGGUAUCCUGUCUGAAUAUGGGGGGACCAUCCUCCAAGGCUAAAUACUCCUGACUGACCGAUAGUGAACCAGUACCGUGAGGGAAAGGCGAAAAGAACCCCGGCGAGGGGAGUGAAAAAGAACCUGAAACCGUGUACGUACAAGCAGUGGGAGCCCCACCACUAAGCCAGUGGUGAACUCCACAUACGCAUCCUUUGCUGAAGGCAAUGGUUAACGGAGCGAAAGCGACGUUCAACCGCAAAACAAGCAGAGGGGGCUUAGUGGUGGGGUGACUGCGUACCUUUUGUAUAAUGGGUCAGCGACUUAUAUUCUGUAGCAAGGUUAACCGUAUAGGGGAGCCGGAGGGAAACCGAGUCUUAAUUGGGCGUUAAGUUGCAGGGUAUAGACCCGAAACCCGGUGAUCUAGCCAUGGGCAGGUUGAAGGUUGGGUAACACUAACUGGAGGACCGAACCGACUAAUGUUGAAAAAUUAGCGGAUGACCUGUGGCUGGGGGUGAAAGGCCAAUCAAACCGGGAGAUAGCUGGUUCUCCCCGAAAGCUAUUUAGGUAGCGCCUCGUGAAUUCAUCUCCGGGGGUAGAGCACUGUUUCGGCUAGGGGGCCAUCCCGGCUUACCAACCCGAUGCAAACUGCGAAUACCGGAGAAUGUUAUCACGGGAGACACACGGCGGGUGCUAACGUCCGUCGUGAAGAGGGAAACAACCCAGACCGCCAGCUAAGGUCCCAAAGUCAUGGUUAAGUGGGAAACGAUGUGGGAAGGCCCAGACAGCCAGGAUGUUGGCUUAGAAGCAGCCAUCAUUUAAAGAAAGCGUAAUAGCUCACUGGUCGAGUCGGCCUGCGCGGAAGAUGUAACGGGGCUAAACCAUGCACCGAAGCUGCGGCAGCGACGCUUAUGCGUUGUUGGGUAGGGGAGCGUUCUGUAAGCCUGCGAAGGUGGCCUGUGAGGGUUGCUGGAGGUAUCAGAAGUGCGAAUGCUGACAUAAGUAACGAUAAAGCGGGUGAAAAGCCCGCUCGCCGGAAGACCAAGGGUUCCUGUCCAACGUUAAUCGGGGCAGGGUGAGUCGACCCCUAAGGCGAGGCCGAAAGGCGUAGUCGAUGGGAAACAGGUUAAUAUUCCUGUACUUGGUGUUACUGCGAAGGGGGGACGGAGAAGGCUAUGUUGGCCGGGCGACGGUUGUCCCGGUUUAAGCGUGUAGGUGUGUGUUCCAGGUAAAUCCGGUUCACUUUAACACUGAGGCGUGAUGACGAGGCACUACGGUGCUGAAGCAACAAAUGCCCUGCUUCCAGGAAAAGCCUCUAAGCAUCAGGUAACAUCAAAUCGUACCCCAAACCGACACAGGUGGUCAGGUAGAGAAUACCAAGGCGCUUGAGAGAACUCGGGUGAAGGAACUAGGCAAAAUGGUGCCGUAACUUCGGGAGAAGGCACGCUGACACGUAGGUGAAGUGAUUUACUCAUGGAGCUGAAGUCAGUCGAAGAUACCAGCUGGCUGCAACUGUUUAUUAAAAACACAGCACUGUGCAAACACGAAAGUGGACGUAUACGGUGUGACGCCUGCCCGGUGCCGGAAGGUUAAUUGAUGGGGUCAGCGCAAGCGAAGCUCCUGAUCGAAGCCCCGGUAAACGGCGGCCGUAACUAUAACGGUCCUAAGGUAGCGAAAUUCCUUGUCGGGUAAGUUCCGACCUGCACGAAUGGCGUAAUGAUGGCCAGGCUGUCUCCACCCGAGACUCAGUGAAAUUGAACUCGCUGUGAAGAUGCAGUGUACCCGCGGCAAGACGGAAAGACCCCGUGAACCUUUACUAUAGCUUGACACUGAACAUUGAGCCUUGAUGUGUAGGAUAGGUGGGAGGCUUUGAAGCGUGGACGCCAGUCUGCGUGGAGCCGACCUUGAAAUACCACCCUUUAAUGUUUGAUGUUCUAACGUGGACCCGUAAUCCGGGUUGCGGACAGUGUCUGGUGGGUAGUUUGACUGGGGCGGUCUCCUCCUAAAGAGUAACGGAGGAGCACGAAGGUUGGCUAAUCCUGGUCGGACAUCAGGAGGUUAGUGCAAUGGCAUAAGCCAGCUUGACUGCGAGCGUGACGGCGCGAGCAGGUGCGAAAGCAGGUCAUAGUGAUCCGGUGGUUCUGAAUGGAAGGGCCAUCGCUCAACGGAUAAAAGGUACUCCGGGGAUAACAGGCUGAUACCGCCCAAGAGUUCAUAUCGACGGCGGUGUUUGGCACCUCGAUGUCGGCUCAUCACAUCCUGGGGCUGAAGUAGGUCCCAAGGGUAUGGCUGUUCGCCAUUUAAAGUGGUACGCGAGCUGGGUUUAGAACGUCGUGAGACAGUUCGGUCCCUAUCUGCCGUGGGCGCUGGAGAACUGAGGGGGGCUGCUCCUAGUACGAGAGGACCGGAGUGGACGCAUCACUGGUGUUCGGGUUGUCAUGCCAAUGGCACUGCCCGGUAGCUAAAUGCGGAAGAGAUAAGUGCUGAAAGCAUCUAAGCACGAAACUUGCCCCGAGAUGAGUUCUCCCUGAGACUUAGAGUCUCCUGAAGGAACGUUGAAGACGACGACGUUGAUAGGCCGGGUGUGUAAGCGCAGCGAUGCGUUGAGCUAACCGGUACUAAUGAACCGUGAGGCUUAACCUUACAACGCCGAAG